CACCAAAAUAUGGACUCAUUUUCCAU
rnacentral:piRNA from 1 species